rnacentral:lncRNA from 1 species
CUUUGUUCCUACUUCUUUCUUUCCAGGGUUAAGAGUUGAGUGUCUGUCUGGGCACAAAGGGAACACCUGCAGGCUGUCCUAGAUCAGGAGUGACCCACAUUAGCAGAAAGAGCUGAACAGCCACAGCUGGGGCCCGGUCUUUACGGCAAUUCAAGGGUUGCUUGCACAGCACGCUCACAUGUGGUUUGGUAAAUGAUUUUCUCAAUUAACUCAUGAGUUAAUAAACUUCCUGUUACUUAAAGAGAUGCUCCAUAUCCCAGGGACCUUCAGCCUUCAUUCAACAGCCAGGAAAAAGGGAAAGAAACGGGGACUCAUCUCAUGGGUACUGAACCAGCAGAAAAAAGACUCUAGAGCAAUAUUGUUUUUUUUUAAAUAAAGCAUUAGAUUUGCUCUUUAGUUGGUGUUGUAGGGGGACAGCAAGCGUUAUUCACUCUCGAGGUAUCUCAGGGCAUGUCAAGUACGGUCGCACCUGCCUGGAAUGAAAUGUGCUCAGGCCACAGUAAGACACUGAGUGACUCAUGCAGAGCUCGUCUGGGAGGCCAAGCAGCCGUGCUGAUCAGUGAUGCAAAGAUUAAACAGAAGUUAAACACCGUGUUCGAGACUCACCGAGCCCUUUCUGGUGCGCUGGGCGGACACAUGACGACUCUGCAGCUGGCAGCUGCGGUCCCAGCCCACUCGCAGGACGCCUGGUCCCUGCUGGGUUUUCGCCAGGCUGCACCCAAGCAUUCCCUCUCCCUAAGGGAGUCCAGGAGUAAAUCAGACCCCUGUGUUUGGAUGAGAAAAUUGGCCGAGGGAAGGUCUCUGGGUGGCCAAGAAACCAGGAAAUCCUGUUCAAUGAAAUAAAGGUUGGAACUGCCUUUGCUUAACUGACAUCAGCUCUGGGAGUGACUGACCUGCCUCUCGAAGUGUCAGCCGGGGGCUGGCGGGAAGUGACUGGGACAGAGGAAGCAGCACUGCUGGUGGGAAGAGAAAUUGUAACAUCCAUUUUAGAGGGCAAUUUUACAAUAUAGAACUGCGCGUGCCUUUGGACCCAUCAAUUUCAUAUUCAAAUAUAUUUAAAAUAUGCAUAUUUUAAUGUGAUCAUAUAUGCUUUUAGAUAUUGUUUUGUUUUCCCAAUUAGCAGUAUGUUCUGGAAAUCUUGCCAUCAGAAUGCUCCAACACUAACUUUUUAAUGCUUGCAUGAUGUACAGAUGUACCAUAUUCUAUCUAAUUCCUGCUGUUGGACAUCUAAGAUCAAGCUGAUGUUUUGUAUUAUAAACAAUGAUGCAAGGAACGCCUUUGUAGCUAAACUGUUGGUUACUUUGUAGAUUUUGUUGUUGUUAGUAUAAAUACCUGCAGCGGAUGUAUUUAAUGAAAAGGUAUGCAUUUCAGUAUCUAUUGCUGGGUAAUAAACCAUCCCAAAACAUAGUGGCUUAAAGGAACAAUUAAUUAUUUCCUGUGAUUCUGAGGGUUGGCUGGAGAUAUACUUUGCAGUGUGAUUCCCUUCUGGGGUCACUCAUGUGACUGCAUUCCCCUGGAGGGUCUACUGGGCUGGAAGGUUCCAGGUGGCCUCACUCACAUGUCUGGCCAUUGGUGCCAGCAGUUGCCUGAAGCCCUCGGUUCUCCUCCACGUGGCCCCUCAGCCUCCAGCGGGCUAGCUCAGGCAGCUGCCUGGUGUGGUCUCAGGACAAGAGUGGAGGCUGCAGUGCCCCUUGCAGUCCAGACUCCCAAACUUACACAAUGUUACUUCUGCCACAUUUUAUUGGCCAAAGCCAGCCCCAGGGCCAGCGCAGACUCAGGAGGAUGUAGAAAUAGACACCAUCUCUUGAUGAGUGGAGCUGCAAGGCCAAGGGACACGGACACUGGGGAGUGGUGGUCACUGGGCCCAUUAUUAUAAUGAUUUACCACAGUAGUUACACCCUAAACUCUUUUCCAGUAUGCUGCCAAACUGUCCUCCGAAAGGCAGAACCAGUUUAUACUGCCAGCUGCCAGCGUCCUUUGGGAAUUUUUAUCUUUAAACAAACUAGUGCAACCACUUUUGGAAGAGUAUACACCAUACGUGGUAGCAGAGGAGGCUUCUGUCCCUUGAGUGGCCAUAGUCAUACCCCUGGGUGGUAACCCAGGGACCUGGCAGCACGGCCGACGUUCAUGCAGGGCAGUUAAAGGACUGUCAUUGUCCUCAGGUAGAGCAGGAGCUAAGCUCUACAUUUCUCUUGUCUGUCCUUUUGGCACCCUCUCCAGGGCUGUCA